ensembl:lncRNA
AUGGUUGCCAUGGUGACCAUGGGGCUGACUCAAGUUAUAUCUGGGCCCACACAUCAGGCAGGACACACGCUGGACCUUGUCUUUAUUGUGGACGGUGGGACAGUCAGAGUGGAAGAGCAAAAUAUCCUUCCAUUGUCAUGGUCUGACCAUCAUCUGAUCUGUUUAAGUUUCGCCGUGUCUUCUAACCUCCGCAGGGGUGGUGGACCCACUAAGAUGGUCCGCCCCAGGAGGCUGAUGGAUCCGGAUGGACUCCUGAGGUCUCUUGGGGAUCUUCCUGUUCUGGAGACUGGCGAUCCUGUUGAUGUCCUGGCUGAUCGCUAUAAUAGUGAGCUGGCUAGGGCACUUGACACGAUUGCUCCCGAACAUCCCCUCUCGCUUCGUAGAGUCACGUCGACUCCUUGGUUCACUGAGGAGCUGACUGUGAUGAAGCGUGCGAGGAGGGGACUAGAGUGCAUCUGGAGGAAAUCUCAGGAUGUGUCUGACCAAGCACGGGCUAAAGCCGCUAUUAAGGCUUACUCCGUGGCUCUGCGAGCAGCCAGGAAAGCUUUCACGACUGCCCGCAUAGCGUCUGCAGCCAACAGGCCAUCGGAGUUGUUCCGAGUUGUUGGGGAGCUCCUGCGGCCUCCCGAGACCCAGGGGCUUCCUGAUGACUUGGCAACUCGGUGCAGCGAUUUCGCGCACCAUUUUGCAGGCAAAGUUGCUCAGAUACGCCGUGAGUUGGACUCCAGCUUAACUGUAGUUCCAGCGGAGGUAACCGAGGUACCUGUCUGUCCGAUCUUGUGGGAUUCUUUCCGGCUUGUUCUUCCUGAUGACGUGGAGGGGAUUCUUGGGUCUGUGAGGGCGAACACUUGCGCUCUGGAUCCUUGUCCUUCUUGGCUGGUUAAGCUGGCCAAAGAUGGGUUGUUGGAUUGGUUUGUGGCUAUUAUAAAUGCCUCCUUGGGUCAGGGGUCAGUUCCAUCCUGCUUUAAGCAGGCAGUAGUAAAACCAUUACUAAAAAAGACCUCUUUAGACCCAUCUGUAUGUAACAACUACAGACCAAUUUCCAACCUCCCAUUUUUGGGCAAGGUUCUGGAGCGGGUGGUUGCCAUGCAGCUCCAGGAGUUCCUCGAUGACACUGAUUUUCUGGACCGCUAG